rnacentral:rRNA from 1 species
GACGAACGCUGGCGGCGUGCUUAACACAUGCAAGUCGAGCGGUAAGGCCCUUUCGGGGGUACACGAGCGGCGAACGGGUGAGUAACACGUGGGUGACCUGCCCUCAGCUCUGGGAUAAGCCCGGGAAACUGGGUCUAAUACUGGAUAUGACUCCAUGACGCAUGUUGUGGGGUGGAAAGCCUUGUGCGGCUGAGGAUGGGCCCGCGGCCUAUCAGCUUGUUGGNGGGUGAUGGCCUACCAAGGCGACGACGGGUAGCCGGCCUGAGAGGGCGACCGGCCACACUGGGACUGAGACACGGCCCGAGACUCCUACGGGAGGCAGCAGUGGGGAAUCUUGCGCAAUGGGCGAAAGCCUGACGCAGCGACG